UAUGUUCAUAGCAGCACUAUUCACAAUAGCCAAGACAUGGAAACAACCUAAAUGUCCAUCGACAGAUGAAUGGAUAAAGAAGAUGUGGUACAUAUACACAAUGGAAUACUACUCAGCCAUAAAAAAGAACAAAAUAAUGCCAUUUGCAGCAACAUGGACGCAACUUGAGAUUAUCCUACUAAAUCAAGGGACAUGGGUUCGACCCCUGGUUGGGGAACUAAGAUCCCACAUGCCACGGAGCAACUAAUCCCGCAGAGUGCAACUACUGAGCCCACGUGUUCUGGAGCCCAUGCACCACAACUAGAGAGCCCAUGCAGUCUGGAGCCUGUGGGCCACAACUAGAGAGAAGCCCGCAUGCCACAAUGAAAGAUCCCGCAUGCCACAACGAAGAUCCCGCAUGCUGCAGCUAAGACCUGACAUAGCCCCAAACAACAACAACAAAAAUCCUAUGAUAAACCAUAAUGGAAAAGAACAUUAAAAAAAGAA